rnacentral:rRNA from 1 species
GACGAACGCUGGCGGCGUGCCUAAUACAUGCAAGUAGAACGCUGAAGAGAGGAGCUUACUCUUCUUGGAUGAGUUGCGAACGGGUGAGUAACGCGUAGGUAACCUGCCUUGUAGCGGGGGAUAACUAUUGGAAACGAUAGCUAAUACCGCAUAACAAUGGAUGACACAUGUCAUUUAUUUGAAAGGGGCAAUUGCUCCACUACAAGAUGGACCUGCUUUGUAUUAGCUAGUAGGUGAGGUAAUGGCUCACCUAGGCGACGAUACAUAGCCGACCUGAGAGGGUGAUCGGCCACACUGGGACUGAGACACGGCCCAGACUCCGACGGGAGGCAGCAGUAGGGAAUCUUCGGCAAUGGGGCAACCCUUACCGAGCAACUCCGCGUGAGUGAAGGAGGUUUUCAGGUCGUAAAGCUCUGUUGUAAGUCAAGAACGGGUGUGGUAGUGGAAAGUUCACGCUGUGACGGUAGCUUACCAGAAAGGGACGGCUAACUACGUG